CGAUUUCCGGAGCUUUCAAAAAUGGCAAGAGAUCUACUAACAAUUCCGGUUAGUACAGUAGCUUCUGAAUCGGCUUUUAGCCUUGGAGGGAAAAUUAUAUCUCCUACUAGGAGUUCAUUGAAGCCAAAGACUGUGCAAGCACUAGUGUGUGUCCAAGAUUGGCGCCGUGAUGAGCAUGGUAUUUCUGUAGACUUGGAGUCUGACCCAUAUUCUUGUGACGAGGAUUUAAAUGAAGAAGAGGAUGAUGAGGAUGAUGAUACUAGCCUUUUCCAUUAGGGCCCUAUGGAGAAAGCCCCUGUUGAGAAAGUAGCCGAACCAGCAGUAGCUCCAAAGCCAACGCCAGCAAAGAAGACCAAGAAGAAGAAAAGUGAAGUCGAGUAGGUUUUGAGAGAAGGAUCAGACUGGAAAAUUUUUGUUUUGAAAUUUUUGUUAAUUUUUAUUUCGUUGCACGACAAACAUUUCCGUUUGCUAUGUUUUAUGUAGUUGCCAAGGAUCUGAACUACUGCACAGUGCCAGUAAUUUUGGUAAUCUAUUUGAAAUUAUGUAAGGAAAUUGUGUGCAAGCAUUAGGGAUGAAUGCUUACUUUUUGAUCAUAUUCUGCAAAUUGUUUGAGCUGUUGGAUCAGGUUUAACUUCGUAGUUGUGUAGCUCCUGUUCCAAUAGCUUCAAAGUUCAGUGGUUGUAUUAGUAAAAUUGCUUGUUUCAUGUCA